rnacentral:misc_RNA from 1 species
GCCCGCUUUACACCAGCGAAAAGGCCGGCAGCCGAGUCGGGGGGAGCUUUGCGCGCCGCCGUAGCCCAGUUUGCACCGGUGUGACAGAGGCGACGCACGGUCGAACGCUAGACAGAGAGAGAAAGAGCGAAUACGGGUGUGCGGAGGUGAGAGGGGGGAGGAUUGGCGCGGCGUUGAAAUCGGCGAUCGCGACGCCCAUAGAUCGCGCCACCGACCGCCGAAUAUCGCGUUGGGAUCGCUCGGGGGGAAUUUCGUUGAAUGGGAAGGAUAUGGUGAGGACGGAGACGUCAAGAUCAAAUCAGCAUGGACACUGGAUUUUCCUAUGACAAUUUUGAAAAGUGUAUAACAGAAAUUGUCAACGUUUCCAACAAACUUUUAGAUGGUUGGAAAAUCGAAUCUAAACAAGACUGUGACGCGAAAUUUAUGACGAAGAAACAUUCCACCUAUUUAGACGGACUUGACGGCUCCAAAACAUUGGUUACAUUCGAGUAUCAUGUAGCUUAUAGUCUUAGUUAUGGAGUUCCAGUGUUGUGCUUCAAUAUUUGGAGACAAGAUGGAACGAUGUUAACAAUAGAAGAAUAUUGGUCACUGAACCAAAGCUUGAAGGACUCUAACAUGCACGAUACUCUGACACAGAUGGACCACCCGGUUUUGUGCAGGCCAUUUUUGACCCUCCACCCUUGCAAAACUUCCGAAUUCUUCCAACCCUUUUUAGAAAACAGCAAAAAUCCAGUGGUGUCGUGGCUGAGCGUCGUGGGUAGUUUCGUGCAUUUACAACUUUUAGAAGACUAUAUAAAGUGUUGUUGAUUUAGGGUUUGAGAAAGAUAAGGCCCAACAAAAGCAUUUCCUCUUUAUAUUUAUUUAGGGUGCUCCCUAACAACAGGUUUCAUUUAAAAGGCUGCGUAUUUAUAGAUUUCUAAGGAUAAAUAUGUAAACUUUCCACUUAUAAACAUAAAUUAUUUGUUUCUGCUUCAUUUAGACCCUCGAAAUUAGUAGUUUCAAUUAUAUAUCUUUAUACUUAUGAGUUUACGAUCAUUCACAAUGUUUAAAAAAUACAAUUAAGUUUAAUAAAUCCUAGCAACAGCUGGCUGUAGUCAGUGGCAUCCAUAGAAAAAGCUUAAUAAUUAGCUACAAAACAAUAAACUUUUGAUUUCUAACGAUAAUUUCUUUUUACGGAUGGUAAUCAAAAGUAUUCAAAAGCUAAAAUGACAUUACUCGGAAAUUUUGAAGCAAAAUUAGUGGAUAAAUUAAAAAGUUUGAUAACGGCAUUCACAGGCAAGAGUUUUCUACCAGCGGCUCUUUCUCAAUAGAAAUAAUGUAUAAGCUUAGCGAGUUCUUGUUCAAAGGCUAAAAUGACAUUACUCGGAAAUUUUGAAGCAAAAUUAGUGGAUAAAGUUAAAAGUUUAUUAACGGCAUUCACAGGCAAGAGUUUUCUACCAGCGGCUCUUUCUCAAUAGAAAUAAUGUAUAAGCUUAGCGAGUUCUUGUUCAAAGGCUAAAAUGACAUUACUCGGAAAUUUUGAAGCAAAAUUAGUGGAUAAAGUUAAAAGUUUGUUAACGGCAUUCACAGGCAAGAGUUUUCUACCAGCGGCUCUUUCUCAAUAGAAAUAAUGUAUAGGCUUAGCGAGUUCUUGUUCAAAGGCUAAAAUGACAUUACUCGGAAAUUUUGAAGCAAAAUUAGUGGAUAAAUUAAAAAGUUUGAUAACGGCAUUCACAGGCAAGAGUUUUCUACCAGCGGCUCUUUCUCAAUAGAAAUAAUCUAUAAGCUUAGCGAGUUCUUGUUCAAAGGCUAAAAUGACAUUACUCGGAAAUUUUUUGAAGCAAAAUUAGUGGAUAAAGUUAAAAGUUUGUUAACGGCAUUCACAGGCAAGAGUUUUCUACCAGCGGCUCUUUCUCAAUAGAAAUAAUGUAUAAGCUUAGCGAGUUCUUGUUCAAAGGCUAAAAUGACAUUACUGGGAAAUUUUGAAGCAAAAUUAGUGGAUAAAGUUAAAAGUUUGUUAACUUUUUCUACUAGUUGAAAAUUACUACCACUAACUUUGGCGUUCAGAAUGCUUACAUUGAAAUUAAAGGAACAAGCUUCUACGUUAAUUGAACCCAAAAAAAUUAUUCUACUAAUUUCGAGGUUCCAAAUGAACCUUAAAGAUUCAUUCAGAACCUC